AUUGAACGCUGGCGGCAUGCUUUACACAUGCAAGUCGAACGGUAACAGGUUAAGCUGACGAGUGGCGAACGGGUGAGUAAUGCAUCGGAACGUGCCCGGUCGUGGGGGAUAACGCAGCGAAAGCUGCGCUAAUACCGCAUACGAUCUGAGGAUGAAAGCGGGGGACCGUAAGGCCUCGCGCGAUCGGAGCGGCCGAUGUCAGAUUAGGUAGUUGGUGGGGUAAAGGCUCACCAAGCCGACGAUCUGUAGCUGGUCUGAGAGGACGACCAGCCACACUGGGACUGAGACACGGCCCAGACUCCUACGGGAGGCAGCAGUGGGGAAUUUUGGACAAUGGGCGAAAGCCUGAUCCAGCAAUGCCGCGUGCAGGAAGAAGGCCUUCGGGUUGUAAACUGCUUUUGUACGGAGCGAAAAGGCCCUCUCUAAUACAGGGGGCUCAUGACGGUACCGUAAGAAUAAGCACCGGCUAACUACGUGCCAGCAGCCGCAGUAAGAC
rnacentral:rRNA from 1 species